rnacentral:rRNA from 1 species
GACGAAUGCUGGCUGCGUGCUUAACACAUGCAAGUCGAACGGUGAAGGAGAGCUUGCUCUCCGGAUCAGUGGCGAACGGGUGAGUAACACGUGGGCAACCUGCCCCUCACUCUGGGAUAACGCCGGGAAACCGGCGCUAAUACCGGAUACGACCAGGCGCGAAAUCUCGCCUGGUGGAAAGAAUUUCGGUGAGGGAUGGGCCCGCGGCCUAUCAGCUUGUUGGUGGGGUAACGGCCCACCAAGGCGACGACGGGUAGCCGGCCUGAGAGGGCGACCGGCCACACUGGGACUGAGACACGGCCCAGACUCCUACGGGAGGCAGCAGUGGGGAAUAUAGCGCAAUGGGCGAAAGCCUGACGCAGCGACGCAGCGUGAGGGACGACGGCCUUCGGGUUGUAAACCUCUUUCAGCGGGGACGAAGCGAAAGUGACGGUACCCGCAGAAGAAGCACCGGCUAACUACGUGCCAGCCGCCGCCGUAAUAC